CGACCUCAACAUGACAUCCCAACUUCUCUGCACAAUGGUCUGAGCAAUGAAGUUUAAUAAUAUCCUUCCAAUGACGGGACUACCAGAAUGGCACACAGUAUUCCAGGAGAGUCCUCACCAACAUUCUUUACAACCUCCAACGUGACGUCCUAACUCCUGUACUCAAAGACCUGAGCAAUGAAGACAAGUGUGCUGAAUGCCUUCUUAACCACCCUGUCCACCUGUGAAACAAAUUUCAAAGACAAAUGUACCUGAAAGCCUAGGUUCUCUGUUCUGUAAUAGUACCCAGGGCCCUACUAUUAAUUAUAUAAGUCCUGCCCAUGUGAAGUAUUCCAUUUUGGAUAAAACAAACAUUUACUCAAAUAAAGUUCAAUCUGCCA